rnacentral:rRNA from 1 species
UACGUAGGGGUCGAGCGUUGUCCGGAGUACUGGGCGUAAAGCGUGCGCAGGCGGCUCAUUGCGCCCGGCGUGAAAGCCCCCGGCUCAACCGGGGGAGGGUCGUCGGGGUACCGGGGUGAGCUUGAGGGUAUCAGGGGCUGGUGGAAUUCCCGGUGUAGUGGUGAAAUGCGUAGAGAUCGGGAGGAACACCCGUGGUGAAGGCGGCCAGCUGGGAUACACCUGGACGCGAGGCACGAAGGCGUGGGGAGCGAACGGG